rnacentral:lncRNA from 1 species
AUGUAUUUUAGGAACCUCGUUUGUUUGCUGCUUGUUGCUUUGCGAUGCGUUCAAAUGCACGUCCAGCUACCUUUUAUUUUGUUUCCUAAUUGUUGUGUACAUGAUGUGCUCGUUUUUGCACGGCUGCACAUCAGGCUCAGAGGCCCUGCCCAGCUUCUACCUUCGCUGGGUAAGCACAUAAAAACCUUCUCAAAAAGGGCAGGGAGAGCUGCUGUCUCCUCAGAGACGGCUGCUGAGAGCCCCUUCAGCCCACACGGGGGAUGGCGGCUCCUCCCCGCCGCUCCUUUUUCCUGCUCUUUCCCCCUCCUCCGCCGUGGCCACUCCAGGGGCUGCAGAGCAACCUCUGCUCCGCUGCCUGGAGCAGCUCCUGCCCUUCCUCCUCCUCCUCUCCCCUGGCUGUCCGUGCAGGGCUGUUCCUCGCAGCGCUCCCCUCACCGCCCCCUGUCGUGCGGUGUUUGCCCUCCCUUCCCCAGGCUGCCCCCGAGGCGAGGCUGCGGGGCCCGGCCGUGCCCUGCGGUGGGGCCGGCAUGGGGCAGCCCCAGCACGCCGCAUGCAGCGGCCCCCAGACCCCGGCCACCGCCCGGGUCCCUGCACCUUGAACGCUCACUGGGACACCAACGUUGGCAUCUACGGUACUGACUACCCUCUGCCUACCUUCCUUCCUCGAAGGGAUUAUAAGUUGAAGCAAGUCGUAAAAGACAUUGCAACAGGAGCAGCAAGAUGAGCAAGGUCCAUUUCUCUAGUUCUGCCUGAGCCAGGCAGAGAAGACCUGUCUGCCACAUGGGCUAUCAGAAGGACUAAUAGACCUCACCUCUCAGCUACCAAGGGUUGCCAGCCACAAAGGGCUAUAGUUGUGUCCUGCAGGUUGUUACCUUACUGCUUACGAGACUAGUUCUGUAUUCUUAUCUAUUUCACUCCCUUUUGUGAAGAUGAUGCAUCUGUGGUGAUGGGAAGCCUGCAGUUGUGUGGACAAGCUGGAUGUUUCAUUGCCUGGCUCUUCAUAUGAGACUCUUGAACUGGAAGCCCAAAUUCUCCUCCUCUACUCUUGGUAGGUACUGAUUUUUCUUUCUCCUACCUCUCUUCCCUACUCAGCAAUCAAAGGUGUUAUUUUGUAAUGAAGUUCCUGCCAAGAACCUUUCCAAACAUCACAUUCCAGAGGCAGAAGUACUUCUCCAGUAUAUGUCCUACACAUUAUUCAUAUUUGUGCUUUGACUCCUAUUUCAGUGCUUUGUGCAGAUGAUCCAAGAGCAUAUGAACUUUAUAUGAGGGUAGUGGAUAUGGGACAGACUAUGCAGAUAGCUAUGGGAUAUGUAUUUAUAGAUUCAGGGUGCAUACAUGUAUAUGAGGGUGUUCUCCCAUAAACGCUAGAAGGCUUUCCCACCACCUAAAGGUUUUCUACCUUAACAAUGCAAGUGAAGAUGGCUCUGCUUGCUGCAUCUCCCUUUGGGCAGUGCAGACCCCUCUGGAACUGUCCCAGAGAGCAUGGGCAGGGAGGCUGCAACAACAUCUGCUUCUGAGUACACUGCUUAUGACUCUUUCACACAGGUAUUUGUGCACCUUUUUACUGUAGAUCAGCUUCCUUUUGGUAAAGGUGGUCUGAAAUGAUUUUCACCUUUGAAACAGUUUUCCUAUUCUUCUU